UACGGAGGAUGCAAGCGUUAUCCGGAAUGACUGGGCGUAAAGCGUCCGUAGGUGGCAAUGUAAGUCUGCUGUCAAAGCGUCUGGCUCAACCAGAUAAAGGCAGUGGAAACUACAUAGCUAGAGUAAGGUAGGGGUAGAGGGAAUUCCUGGUGUAGCGGUGAAAUGCGUAGAUAUCUGGAGGAACACCGGUGGCGAAGGCGGCAUCCUGGACCAACACUGACGCUGAGGAGCGAAAGCCAGGGGAGCAAACGGG
rnacentral:rRNA from 1 species